CGGGUGAGUAACGUGUGGGCAACCUGCCCUGCACUGGGGAAUAAUCAUUGGAAACGAUGACUAAUACCGCAUACGGUUCUUGGGAGGCAUCUUCCGGGAAAAAAAGGAUUUAUUCGGUGCAGGAUGGGCCCGCAUCUGAUUAGCUAGUUGGUGAGAUAACAGCCCACCAAGGCGACGAUCAGUAGCCGACCUGAGAGGGUGACCGGCCACAUUGGGACUGAGACACGGCCCAAACUCCUGCGGGAGGCAGCAGUGGGGAAUAUUGCACAAUGGGCGAAAGCCUGAUGCAGCAACGCCGCGUGAAGGAAGAAGGGUUUCGGCUCGUAAACUUCUAUCAACAGGGACGAAAGAAAUGACGGUACCUGAAUAAGAAGCCCCGGCUAACUACGUGCCAGCAGCCGCGGUAAUACGUAGGGGGCAAGCGUUAUCCGGAAUUACUGGGUGUAAAGGGUGAGUAGGCGGCAUGGUAAGCCAGAUGUGAAAGCCUUGGGCUUAACCCGAGGAUUGCAUUUGGAACUAUCAAGCUAGAGUACAGGAGAGGAAAGCGGAAUUCCUAGUGUAGCGGUGAAAUGCGUAGAUAUUAGGAAGAACACCAGUGGCGAAGGCGGCUUUCUGGACUGAAACUGACGCUGAGGCACGAAAGCGUGGGGAGCGAACAGGAUUAGAUACCCUGGUAGUCCACGCUGUAAACGAUGAGUGCUAGGUGUCGGGGAGGAAUCCCCGGUGCCGCAGCUAACGCAAU
rnacentral:rRNA from 1 species